rnacentral:rRNA from 1 species
ACACUAUCAUUAACUGAAUCCAUAGGUUAAUGAGGCGAACCGGGGGAACUGAAACAUCUAAGUACCCCGAGGAAAAGAAAUCAACCGAGAUUCCCCCAGUAGCGGCGAGCGAACGGGGAGCAGCCCAGAGCCUGAAUCAGUGUGUGUGUUAGUGGAAGCGUCUGGAAAGGCGCGCGAUACAGGGUGACAGCCCCGUACACAAAAAUGCACAUGCUGUGAGCUCGAUGAGUAGGGCGGGACACGUGGUAUCCUGUCUGAAUAUGGGGGGACCAUCCUCCAAGGCUAAAUACUCCUGACUGACCGAUAGUGAACCAGUACCGUGAGGGAAAGGCGAAAAGAACCCCGGCGAGGGGAGUGAAAAAGAACCUGAAACCGUGUACGUACAAGCAGUGGGAGCACGCUUAGGCGUGUGACUGCGUACCUUUUGUAUAAUGGGUCAGCGACUUAUAUUCUGUAGCAAGGUUAACCGAAUAGGGGAGCCGAAGGGAAACCGAGUCUUAACUGGGCGUUAAGUUGCAGGGUAUAGACCCGAAACCCGGUGAUCUAGCCAUGGGCAGGUUGAAGGUUGGGUAACACUAACUGGAGGACCGAACCGACUAAUGUUGAAAAAUUAGCGGAUGACUUGUGGCUGGGGGUGAAAGGCCAAUCAAACCGGGAGAUAGCUGGUUCUCCCCGAAAGCUAUUUAGGUAGCGCCUCGUGAAUUCAUCUCCGGGGGUAGAGCACUGUUUCGGCAAGGGGGUCAUCCCGACUUACCAACCCGAUGCAAACUGCGAAUACCGGAGAAUGUUAUCACGGGAGACACACGGCGGGUGCUAACGUCCGUCGUGAAGAGGGAAACAACCCAGACCGCCAGCUAAGGUCCCAAAGUCAUGGUUAAGUGGGAAACGAUGUGGGAAGGCCCAGACAGCCAGGAUGUUGGCUUAGAAGCAGCCAUCAUUUAAAGAAAGCGUAAUAGCUCACUGGUCGAGUCGGCCUGCGCGGAAGAUGUAACGGGGCUAAACCAUGCACCGAAGCUGCGGCAGCGACNNNNAUGCUGGAGGUAUCAGAAGUGCGAAUGCUGACAUAAGUAACGAUAAAGCGGGUGAAAAGCCCGCUCGCCGGAAGACCAAGGGUUCCUGUCCAACGUUAAUCGGGGCAGGGUGAGUCGACCCCUAAGGCGAGGCCGAAAGGCGUAGUCGAUGGGAAACAGGUUAAUAUUCCUGUACUUGGUGUUACUGCGAAGGGGGGACGGAGAAGGCUAUGUUGGCCGGGCGACGGUUGUCCCGGUUUAAGCGUGUAGGCUGGUUUUCCAGGCAAAUCCGGAAAAUCAAGGCUGAGGCGUGAUGACGAGGCACUACGGUGCUGAAGCAACAAAUGCCCUGCUUCCAGGAAAAGCCUCUAAGCAUCAGGUAACAUCAAAUCGUACCCCAAACCGACACAGGUGGUCAGGUAGAGAAUACCAAGGCGCUUGAGAGAACUCGGGUGAAGGAACUAGGCAAAAUGGUGCCGUAACUUCGGGAGAAGGCACGCUGAUAUGUAGGUGAAGUGAUUUACUCAUGGAGCUGAAAUCAGUCGAAGAUACCAGCUGGCUGCAACUGUUUAUUAAAAACACAGCACUGUGCAAACACGAAAGUGGACGUAUACGGUGUGACGCCUGCCCGGUGCCGGAAGGUUAAUUGAUGGGGUCAGCGCAAGCGAAGCUCUUGAUCGAAGCCCCGGUAAACGGCGGCCGUAACUAUAACGGUCCUAAGGUAGCGAAAUUCCUUGUCGGGUAAGUUCCGACCUGCACGAAUGGCGUAAUGAUGGCCAGGCUGUCUCCACCCGAGACUCAGUGAAAUUGAACUCGCUGUGAAGAUGCAGUGUACCCGCGGCAAGACGGAAAGACCCCGUGAACCUUUACUAUAGCUUGACACUGAACAUUGAGCCUUGAUGUGUAGGAUAGGUGGGAGGCUUUGAAGUGUGGACGCCAGUCUGCAUGGAGCCGACCUUGAAAUACCACCCUUUAAUGUUUGAUGUUCUAACGUGGACCCGUAAUCCGGGUUGCGGACAGUGUCUGGUGGGUAGUUUGACUGGGGCGGUCUCCUCCUAAAGAGUAACGGAGGAGCACGAAGGUUGGCUAAUCCUGGUCGGACAUCAGGAGGUUAGUGCAAUGGCAUAAGCCAGCUUGACUGCGAGCGUGACGGCGCGAGCAGGUGCGAAAGCAGGUCAUAGUGAUCCGGUGGUUCUGAAUGGAAGGGCCAUCGCUCAACGGAUAAAAGGUACUCCGGGGAUAACAGGCUGAUACCGCCCAAGAGUUCAUAUCGACGGCGGUGUUUGGCACCUCGAUGUCGGCUCAUCACAUCCUGGGGCUGAAGUAGGUCCCAAGGGUAUGGCUGUUCGCCAUUUAAAGUGGUACGCGAGCUGGGUUUAGAACGUCGUGAGACAGUUCGGUCCCUAUCUGCCGUGGGCGCUGGAGAACUGAGGGGGGCUGCUCCUAGUACGAGAGGACCGGAGUGGACGCAUCACUGGUGUUCGGGUUGUCAUGCCAAUGGCACUGCCCGGUAGCUAAAUGCGGAAGAGAUAAGUGCUGAAAGCAUCUAAGCACGAAACUUGCCCCGAGAUGAGUUCUCCCUGACCCUUUAAGGGUCCUGAAGGAACGUUGAAGACGACGACGUUGAUAGGCCGGGUGUGUAAGCGCAGCGAUGCGUUGAGCUAACCGGUACUAAUGAACCGUGAGGCUUAACCUU